rnacentral:rRNA from 1 species
AGCAGCCGCGGUAAUUCCAGCUCCAAUAGCGUAUAUUAAAGUUGUUGCAGUUAAAAAGUUGGUAGUUGAAUUUCGGGAUCAAUAUGUUGGUCGUGCCUUGGUACGUACUGGCGUCAUUGAUUUCUACCUUCUGAAGAACCUCGAUGUCAUUAAUUUGGUGUCUUGGGGAAUCAGGACUGUUACUUUGAAAAAAUUAGAGUGUUUAAAGCAAGCUCACGCUUGAAUACAUUAGCAUGGAAUAAUGAAAUAGGACGUUUGAUUCUAUUUUGUUGGUUUCUAGGAUUGACGUAAUGAUUAAUAGGGAUAGUUGGGGGCAUUAGUAUUCAAUUGUCAGAGGUGAAAUUCUUGGAUUUAUUGAAGACUAACUACUGCGAAAGCAUUUGCCAAGGAUGUUUUCAUUAAUCAAGAACGAAAGUUAGGGGAUCGAAGACGAUCAGAUACCGUCGUAGUCUUAACCAUAAACUAUGCCGACUAGGGAUCGGAUGAUGUUAAUUUUUUAAUGACUCAUUCGGCGCCUUACG